AAUCACUGAUCCAACCUCUUGCCCGAUGCCCGGGCAUGGCCCGAAGGCCAUCGCCUCAGGAUCCCCCGACGU
rnacentral:sRNA from 17 species